GCCCUGUGGCCGAGUGGUUAAGUUUGCGAACUCUGCUUUGGCAGCCCAGGGUUUCACCAGUUCGGAUGCUACGCAUGGACCUGGCACCAUUCAAGCCAUACUGAGGCAGUGUCCCACAUAGCAGAGCCAGAAGGACCUACAACUAGAAUAUACAAUUAUGUACUGAGGGGCUUUAGGGAGAAGAAGAAGAAAAAAAUAUUGGCAACAGAUGUUAGCUCAGUUGCCAAUAUUUAAAAAAAGAAAAGAAAGGCACUCUAGUGAGAGACUUUGACCCCAGGAGUCAGUGGACUUGAUGUCUAGUGCAGGCUCCUCUGCUGACAAGCUGUAGAAGAAGGGACUAACUGGCUUCUAAGUUUCCUUUUAGCUCUGCAUUUUUAUGAUUCGGAUUCAUCUUCCUAAGGAAUACAGUUUGAGUCUCAAGAGCACUGAACAGCAGCGAAGAGUGGGCUCCUCAGCUGGAAUAUGGACAAGGGAAAGGGUCAGACCAAAGAGGAGGAACAAAGUAAAAACAGAUGAUGACACCGGAUACAGCUUCAAAUCAAAAUGAAGGUUGAAAAACUCUGCCUCUGCUGUUUUACUCAUUGUGACGAAAAUGUGCUUAAUUAAACAUAAGAUUUUACAGAUGCUUCAACAAAUGUCUGAUAGUACAAAAGCACCUAUCUGGCUGAAAGAAAAGAAGCUUUUCCUUCCAACUCCUCCUGCAUUUAGAGAAAAGAAAAACAAUUGGUGAUAUUGCUUGGGUCCAAAUGUAUAUGCAUCAGGAGGCAUGAAUGUAUGCUACAACAAAAAAUUAAAUUCUCCUGUUUAUUUAGAAAUCUCAUGAAUGCUUAAAGAAGUAUUAACCCAAUAGGCUAUUAUACAAAGAUAUUAUUCCGUUAUAUAUGUAUAUAGCUAUUUAUGACAAGAAUAAUUUAGCUAAAGGCAGUG
rnacentral:lncRNA from 1 species